CAGCACCUCAAGUGGUCAGGAUGAUUAUUGGGCCUAAAGCAUCCGUAGCCGGCUCUGUAAGUUGUCGGUUAAAUCUGUAUGCUCAACAUACAGGCUGCCGGGAAUACUGCAGAGCUAGGGAGUGGGAGAGGUAGACGGUACUCGGUAGGAAGGGGUAAAAUCCUUUGAUCUAUUGAUGACCAACUGUGGCGAAGGCGGUCUACCAGAACACGUCCGACGGUGAGGGAUGAAAGCUGAGGGAGCAAACCGGAUUAGAUACCCGAGUAGUCC
rnacentral:rRNA from 1 species